rnacentral:rRNA from 1 species
GAUGAACGCUGGCGGCGUGCCUAAUACAUGCAAGUCGAACGACAGCACAAGAAGCUUGCUCUCCUACUGGUAGCGGCGGACGGGUGAGUAACACGUGGAUAACCUGCCCAUAAGACGGGGAUAACAUCGGGAAACCGCUGCUAAUACCGCCUAAUACUUCGAACCGCAUGGUUCAAAGGGGAAACGCGGCUUUCGCGUCUGUUGUAGCUGGUACCGGGUUGCAUUAGCUAGUUGGUAAGGUAACGGCUUACCAAGGCUACGAUGCAUAGCCGACCUGAGAGGGUGAUCGGCCACACUGGAACUGAGACACGGUCCAGACUCCUACGGGAGGCAGCAGUAGGGAAUCUUCCGCAAAGGGCGAAAGCCUGACGGAGCAACGCCGCGUGAGUGAAGAAGGUCUUCGGAUCGUAAAACUCUGUUGUUAGGGAAGAACAGAUGCUAGAGUAACUGUGAACGUCUUGACGGUACCUAAACAGAAAGCCACGGCUAACUACGUG